AAUGAACGCUGGCGGCAGGCCUAACACAUGCAAGUCGAACGGAUCAUUCGGGAUUAGUGGUUGACGGAGGAGUAACGGGUGGGAACAUACCUAAGGGUACGGAAUGUCGUCGGGAAAACGGGAUUAAUAGCAAAGGUGCUAGAAAGUGCGAAGAUUGAUCGCAGUUGGAUUGGCCCGCGUUGUAUCAGGUCGUUGGUGGGGGAAUGGCUUACCAAUCCGACGAUCCAUAGCAGGUUUGAGAGGAUGAUCAGCCACACUGGGACUAGGAAACGGCCCAGACUCCUGCGCGAGGGAGCAGUGGGGGAUCUUAGACAAUGGGGGAAACCCUGAUCUAGCCAUGCCGCGUGAUCGAUGAAGGCCUUAGGGUUGUAAAGAUCUUUCAGGUGGGAAGAUAUUGACUGUACCACCAGAAGAAGCCCCGGCUAACUCCGUGCCAGCCGCCGCAGUAA
rnacentral:rRNA from 1 species